UCUCUGGUAGUAUAUCGGAUAGUACACCCGCCUGUCACUUAUGUAAGCGGUACGCGGGAGAGCGGGGUUCGACUCCCCGCCAGAGAG